CCUGAGCCCGGGAGCGGGUCGGGAUGAUGAGGGCGCGGCCCAGGGGCUGCUCCGGCUCCUCGGCACCUUUUCCCGGACCUGCGCUCCAGCCACCCGGCCCCGGAGCCGGCAGCGCGGGGCGGGAAGCGGCUCGGGCGCGGCCGGGGUUUGCGCGCGGGGCUGCGCCUCUGUGCUCCUAUGAGCAGUACUUCGGUCCCGGCACCAGGCUCACGGUCCUAGAGGACCUGAGUAAGGUGACCCCACCCAAGGUCACUCUGUUUGAGCCAUCAGAAGCAGAGAUCAGCAAGAAACAAAAGGCCACCCUCGUGUGCCUGGCCACAGACUUCUACCCAGACCACGUGGAGCUGAGCUGGUGGGUGAACGGGAAGGAGGUGCACAGUGGGGUCAGCACGGACCCUCAGCCCUCCAAGGAGCAGAGCACCCUCGAGGACUCCAAGUACUUCCUGAGCAGUCGCCUGAGGGUCUCUGCCACCUUCUGGCUCAACCCUCGCAACCACUUCCGCUGCCAAGUGCAGUUCUAUGGGCUCUCAGAGGAAGACCAGUGGACCGAGGAGAGGGACAAACCCAUCACCCAGAACAUCAGUGCUGACACCUGGGGCAAAGCAGACUGUGGCAUCACCUCAGCGUCCUAUCAGCAAGGGGUGCUGUCAGCCACCCUCCUGUACGAGAUCCUGCUGGGGAAGGCCACCGUGUAUGCUGUGCUGGUCAGCACCCUGGUGCUGUUAGCCAAGGUCAAGAAGAAGAAUUCCUGAGGCCAGGUCUGACCGUGCAUCCUGAGUUCCCCUGCAGCCUCGCCCUGAUUCUCCUGUACCUGCUCCAACCUAUGUACCUAAAGAGCUACUCUGUUCACCUUUCAUCCCCUUCCCACUGGGAAAAUUCAUCCUCCUCUCUGCUUCUGGGCAGA